AUGCCUCACUGGGUCUCAGGUGAGCUCCCUUGGGACAAAGGACAAACUGACUGCUGCUCUAACAACUUCUCCAGCAAACAGCACCCUUCCUGGACACCCAGGCCUCCCCUCCCCCAGAAUGCCCUGUCCUCACCUCCAGGAGGGCUGGUGGCCCCUCAGCAAGGACGCUCCAAGUCCCCGCCCCUCUGCUCAGCCACGGCCACUCCUCCUCGUCUCUGCUCCCCUGCACCCUGGGCGGGAGGACACGGUCCUCCUACCAAGCCCACUGGAGUCUACUGCUCCUGAUUCCCUGGGGACCUUGCUCCAUCCAUGAUAAUCGGAACAGAAAACACUGUGACUGUCAAUCAGAACAUGAAGAAAGGACCUCUCCACACGUCCCUUUAUCUCUUUUCCCCUCUCCCCUUUUUAGCCAAGCCACGGGAAACGGUGUUUCUGCACUGACAUCACCGGGCUGUCCUGAUCUCUGGCACAAUCAGCCGCUGGCUGCUGAGAGCUCAGAGUCCUGCUCCAGGGACAGCUGAUCACAGGCAUCGUCUUCUUCCAACCCUGGCCGCCCAGCGGAGUCACAGUGCUCCCCACACUCUAGGAGGAAACUGAGAAAGCUGACUUUGCCCUUGUGGCUCCUCGUACGUGGAGUGCCAGGACCAGACCAGGAACACCUCCAGGUCCCCACAGCCAGCAGCCAGAGGCCUGCCCGAGCUUGGUGGCUUGGCUCAGGAACAUGGAAGCUCUGGAAUAGGAGCCCACGUUUCCAUUUGGCUUUCAGCUCUAGGAGACUGGGCUGGCCUGUUUUUACUGUGCCAUUACUGCAUUUCCCUGUACUGCCGAGAGAAGGGAGUGGGGAACUUUUAAGAAAACAAGGCCUCCUGGGUGGUGAUUGUUCACAUCCGGGAGUUGCUGCUUCUCGCUGACCCUCCUCCCUCCCAGCAGAGCACAUGUACUGUUGACGUCAGCCCAGCUGACACCCACGGCAGCCGAGCUCUGCGAGGACUCACAGACACACACACGUUGACGGGAUUCAGAACGCAGCUCACAAACCUCGACAAAGCAGAGAACCCUGCAGUAUGCAGCCGUCCCUCGCCGAGGUCACCCGCCCGGCCACCUUCUGCCCACCUGCCUGACGGAUGCAGUCGGGGCGUGGAGGAGGGCUUCUGUCCUGGAGUCUGGGUCCUGCUUAUGCUAAUUACCUGGAUGCAGAAUCCCAGAUAUUAGGGCCGGGAAAACCCCUAAGGGCUUCAACUUGACUGUUUUAGAGGUCGAAAGGUCAAGUUCAAUGUCAGGUAAACUGCCAAAUCUGACAUCCGAUUGACUGGGUCCCGUGUAAAGGGAGGUAGAGACGGGGGAGCUCGGACACUCCAGCAGGUCUGUCUCUGAUCUGUCCACGUCACUCCUGAGCCAACCCGAUGAUUUCCUACUUCCACAGUUGCUCCUGGGCCAAGUAGGCUUGAUUGCACUCAGAGGCUGCUCUUGGAUCCUGAGCUUUUCAGUGGAAUGCAUCCCCUUCACCCUGGGCUGGAAGAGCAAGGCACAACAGGGUCCCUGGCUGGGCAGCGAAGACCCCAGGAACUCACCUUGAUGCAGUGUGCUGGGGGGGCUGCAGCAGCCCGCCAAGCCCCCAGCCACAUCGACCACCUCAACUAAUUAGGUCCUGGCUAAUUGAUCUCUAUAGAUUCUGCCUGCCAAGCUCCAGGAUCUUUCUUUGUGCUGAUCCACCGAAAACUUGGAGCAGAGAAAAGAAGACCUGAAAGGCUGGCUCCUCAUGCAGCCUCCCAGGCGCUGCGUGCUGCUGCGAGCUGACUCAUGUUCCUGGCAGAGAGGAGGAUGCCGGCUCCGUGCCCUAGAAACCCUGCCGCCCCUGGGAAACCGGGGUCCUGAGAGCAGCCGGUGUCUGCCAGGGGCCUGGGAAGCGCUGGAAUGAGAUUUCCUACGGGGCUCACCUUCUCUUCCCUCACAUCCCAUCUUCUCCUCUAGCCCCUGGGGACCUAAUAAAAACCCCGACAGUCUACCUGCCAGAGUGGAAAGGGCAGGUGACGGCCCUUUAGUUCCCCCUCUCCUCCUCGUCAGUCCUGAGCGAAGUCCCCUACCUGCUUGGGCUUUGUGUCAUUUUCCCAUGGCCGCUGUGGUGACUACCACACAAGCACCAGCUCAGACAUGGUGUGUCCUCACCACCCCGAGGUCAGAGUCUGAAGUCGGCAUCGUGGAGCCGAGAUGAGGCGGCAGAACUGUGCUCCCCCCGGGGCUCGGGGCCGGGCUGGGGCUCUGUCUCCUCUAACUCCUGGUGACUGGGCAUUCCUUGGCUUGUGGCUGCAUCACUGGGUCUUCAAGUUACUCGGGCUACCUGUCUCAUUUGAAAGAGUCCAUAUUAAGUCUCCGGGGCUUGAAAUCUUGGAGGAGGAGGAACUUACAGAAGACCACCUACCUACUCUACCUCUUUGAGAAUGAAUCUUGUUCUGGAGACUGAACGAAAAGUGACUGCAUUUUAAUAUUGAUACUGUCCUGCUUGGUUCCAACCUUUUUGGGAUGUUGGAUGCUGGUUAUAAGGAAGAGCAAAUGUACGUAAGGGUAGCUCCAGGGAGGGCUACUGUGUUUGGGGGAAGAUGAGUGAGACAUUGCCCAAGGCACAGAAUUUAAGACAAAGGCACAGAAUUUAAGACAACACACAUGCACAGCUCUGUAAUUAAUGGAGAUAAUAUUUCACUGUUAUAAUUUUAAAACUCAAAAAUGCAUGCAAAAACCCAUGAUGAAAAACAUCACAAGUUUAAAUAACAAUAAAAAGAGCAAUCACCAGUUGAAAAUGGAGAGACUGGAAUUAGUGGUUCUAUUUUUAGAUUUCAAGCUGAAUUUUGCAGUUACCUGGAUUCUCUACUCCAAACUGAAAGUUCGGCCAGCAGGAGGACUUUGAUAAAGGGCAGGCCCCUGAGAGGCAACGACACCCGGUGGACAUGAUUCAUUCUGCUUAACGAAUGUUUAUGAAGCAGUUGCAUUAUGGGUGCUGGGAGUACAGUCAUGACAAGGUUGCAGUGUAGGUCUCCGCUCUGUGGAGGGCAGAGUCUAAAGGCUCGAGGAUAAUUAUGGGACUUGGCAAGUGAACAGUCAUGGAGAGGAGCAAGAUGUGCCUUGGGUGACUCCCACCCCUUGCCACACCUGUGACAUCACGUGGUCCCUCAGAGCUCCUGCUGGAAGGAGCCUUCUGUGAUCCAGCCAGGCCCAGAUGCUUAUCCCGAAUCCCCAAACCCCACGUGUUAUGGUUUAUAUAUUAGGUGUCCCCCAAAGGCUCAUGUGGGGUGAAAUGAUUGGUUAGGAGACCUGAACUCCACCAGUGCAUUCAUCCCCCGAUGGGAUUGAUGGGAUUACCUGGGUGGUGACUGAAGGCAGGUGAGGUGUGGGUGGAGGAGGUGGGGCUUUGGGGUGUGCCCUUGGGGGGUAUAUAUUUUGUCGAGGCGAGCUCUGUCUGCUUCUUGGUGUGAUGUCUUAAUCCACUUUCCUCCAUCACACUCUUCCACCAUGAUGUUCUGCUCAUCUCCAGCCCUGAGGAAUGGAGUCAGCCAUCUGUGGACUGAGACCUCUGAAACCGUGAGACCCCCAAAACUUUUCCUCCUGAAAUUUGCUCUCGUUGGGUCAGCAGGAGGACUUUGACAAAGGGAAGGCCCUGUUGGAUCUUGUGGUCACAGCAAUAAAAACGCUUACUAGAACUCA